AAAGGUUAUGGCGGCGUGCUUACCAUGCAAGUCGAACGGUGAACACGGAGCUUGCUCUGUGGGAUCAGUGGCGAACGGGUGAGUAACACGUGAGCAACCUGCCCCUGACUCUGGGAUAAGCGCUGGAAACGGCGUCUAAUACUGGAUACGAACCACGAAGGCAUCUUCAGUGGUUGGAAAGAAUUUCGGUUGGGGAUGGGCUCGCGGCCUAUCAGCUUGUUGGUGAGGUAAUGGCUCACCAAGGCGUCGACGGGUAGCCGGCCUGAGAGGGUGACCGGCCACACUGGGACUGAGACACGGCCCAGACUCCUACGGGAGGCAGCAGUGGGGAAUAUUGCACAAUGGGCGCAAGCCUGAUGCAGCAACGCCGCGUGAGGGAUGACGGCCUUCGGGUUGUAAACCUCUUUUAGCAGGGAAGAAGCGAAAGUGACGGUACCUGCAGAAAAAGCGCCGGCUAACUACGUGCCAGCAGCCGCGGUAAUACGUAGGGCGCAAGCGUUAUCCGGAAUUAUUGGGCGUAAAGAGCUCGUAGGCGGUUUGUCGCGUCUGCUGUGAAAUCCCGAGGCUCAACCUCGGGCCUGCAGUGGGUACGGGCAGACUAGAGUGCGGUAGGGGAGAUUGGAAUUCCUGGUGUAGCGGUGGAAUGCGCAGAUAUCAGGAGGAACACCGAUGGCGAAGGCAGAUCUCUGGGCCGUAACUGACGCUGAGGAGCGAAAGGGUGGGGAGCAAACAGGCUUAGAUACCCUGGUAGUCCACCCCGUAAACGUUGGGAACUAGUUGUGGGGUCCAUUCCACGGAUUCCGUGACGCAGCUAACGCAUUAAGUUCCCCGCCUGGGGAGUACGGCCGCAAGGCUAAAACUCAAAGGAAUUGACGGGGACCCGCACAAGCGGCGGAGCAUGCGGAUUAAUUCGAUGCAACGCGAAGAACCUUACCAAGGCUUGACAUAUACGAGAACGGGCCAGAAAUGGUCAACUCUUUGGACACUCGUAAACAGGUGGUGCAUGGUUGUCGUCAGCUCGUGUCCUGAGAUGUUGGGUUAAGUCCCGCAACGAGCGCAACCCUCGUUCUAUGUUGCCCGCCCUAAUGGUGGGAACUCUGGGAAACUGCCGGGGUCACUCGGAGGAGGUGGGGAUG
rnacentral:rRNA from 1 species